AGGGAUAUAGUUCAAGGGCAGAACAACGGUCUCCAAAACCGUCGAUGCGGGUUCGAUUCCUGCUAUCCCUGCCA
rnacentral:tRNA from 3 species